rnacentral:rRNA from 1 species
UAUGUUGUUGCAGUUAAAAAGCUCGUAGUUGGAUUCCUGACCUGGGGUAGCCGGUCCGCCUUGCAAAAGGUGCGCACUGAGCGGCCUCGGUCAUCCUUGAGAAGAGCGGUCCUGGCAUUCAGUUGUCGGGGUCGGGAUUCUCGACGUUUACUGUGAAAAAAUCAGAGUGUUCAACGCAGGCUUACGCCUUGAAUACAUUAGCAUGGAAUAAUGAGAUAGGACCUUGGCGGUCUAUUUUGUUGGUUUGCACGCCGAGGUAAUGAUUAAAAGGGACGGUUGGGGUUCUUCGUAUUCAAUUGUCAGAGGUGAAAUUCUUGGAUUUAUGGAAGACGAACUGCUGCGAAAGCGUCGAACAAGGACGUUCUCAUUAAUCAAGAACGAAAGUUAGGGGAUCGAAGAUGAUUAGAUACCAUCGUAGUCUUAACCAUAAACUAUGCCGAUUCAGGAUUGGCGGUCGUUUGUUCUCGACUCCGUCAGCACUGUAUGAGAAAUCAAAAUCUUUGGGUUCCGGGGGGAGUAUGGUCGCAAGGCUGAAACUUAAAGAAAUUGACGGAAGGGCACCACCAGGAGUGGAGCCUGCGGCUUAAUUUGACUCAACACGGGGAAACUUACCAGGUCCAGACAUAGUAAGGAUUGACAGAUUGAGAGCUCUUUCUUGAUUCUAUGGGUGGUGGUGCAUGGCGUUCUUAGUUGGUGGAGUGAUUUGUCUGGUAUUCCGUUACGACGA